GACGAACGCUGGCGGCGUGCCUAAUACAUGCAAGUCGAACGCAGUGGGGACGGGUGAGUAACACGUGGGUAACCUCCCAUCAGUGGGGAAAACAUUUGGAAACAGAUGCUAAACCGAUACUGAUGGAUGGACCCGCGGUACAUUAGCUAGUUGCUUGGGUAACGGAUCACCAAGGCCACGAUGCAUAGAGGAACUGAGAGGAGGAUCAGCCACACUGCGACUAAGACACGGCCGAGACGACGACGGGAGGCAGGAAUAGGGAAUCUGCGGCAAUGGACGAAAGUCUGAACGAGCAACGACGCGUGAGUGAAGAAGGUGUUCGGAUCGUAAAACUGUGUUGUUAGAGAAACGGUAUCUGACCAGAAAGCCACGGCUAACUACGUGCCAGACGCCGAGGUAAUAC
rnacentral:rRNA from 1 species